rnacentral:rRNA from 1 species
ACGGGUGAGUAACGCGUGGGAAUCUACCCAUCCCUAGGGGAUAACACAGAGAAAUUUGUGCUAAUACCCUAUACGCCCUUCGGGGGAAAGAUUUAUCGGGGAUGGAUGAGCCCGCGUAGGAUUAGCUAGUUGGUGGGGUAAUGGCCUACCAAGGCGACGAUCCUUAGCUGGUCUGAGAGGAUGACCAGCCACACUGGGACUGAGACACGGCCCAGACUCCUACGGGAGGCAGCAGUGGGGAAUAUUGGACAAUGGGCGCAAGCCUGAUCCAGCCAUGCCGCGUGAGUGAUGACGGCCUUAGGGUUGUAAAGCUCUUUCACCCACGACGAUAAUGACGGUAGUGGGAGAAGAAGCCCCGGCUAACUUCGUGCCAGCAGCCGCGGUAAUACGAAGGGGGCUAGCGUUGUUCGGAUUUACUGGGCGUAAAGCGUACGUAGGCGGAUCAAUAAGUCAGAGGUGAAAUCCCGGAGCUCAACUUCGGAACUGCCUUUGAUACUGUUGGUCUUGAGUUUCGGGAGAGGUGAGUGGAACUGCUAGU